GCGGAUGUGGCGGAACUGGUAGACGCCCCGGAUUUAGGUUCCGGUGCCGAAAGGCGUGGGGGUUCGAGUCCCUUCAUCCGCA
rnacentral:tRNA from 1 species